GAUGAACGCUGGCGGCGUGCCUAAUACAUGCAAGUCGAGCGAACAGACGAGGAGCUUGCUCCUCUGACGUUAGCGGCGGACGGUUGAUUAACACUUGGUUACCCUACCUUUAAGACUGGGUUAACUUCGGGAACCCGGACCUAUUACCGGAUAUUUUUUUGACCCGCAUGUUUCAUUAUUAAAAGACGUUUUUGCUUUCCCUUAUAGUUGAUUCCGCGCCGCAUUAGCUAGUUGGUAAGGUAACGGCUUACCAAGGCGACGAUGCGUAGCCGACCUGAGAGGGUGAUCGGCCACACUGGAACUGAGACACGGUCCAGACUCCUACGGGAGGCAGCAGUAGGGAAUCUUCCGCAAUGGGCGAAAGCCUGACGGAGCAACGCCGCGUGAGUGAUGAAGGUCUUCGGAUCGUAAAACUCUGUUAUUAGGGAAGAACAAAUGUGUAAGUAACUAUGCACGUCUUGACGGUACCUAAUCAGAAAGCCACGGCUAACUACGUG
rnacentral:rRNA from 1 species